UAUCGUCAAAUUUCAAAAAUAAUUUAUUUAAAAAAUAUUAUAUUUUAUAUGCUUAACGCCAACAGACUCUAAAUGAAAUCUGCAACCCAUCAAUUUCGCAUCUGGGAAUAUAUCUCUAAUUGCUUCGUAAGCUCAGAUUUCAAAGUUUAUUCUCUCUAUUGAGUAACUACUAGUUUUUUUAAAGUCAACUUCAUACACAUGUCCACAAGAAAAAGCCACAUGUAACCAAAUAGCCUAUUUCAAACUGUGUAGGUGGUGCUCGAAAAGGUUGGGAACCGCUGACUCUAGAACAUCGCAUAGGCUUUUAUUGAAUUUUAAUUUUUAAAUGAGUUUAAGAAUAAUAUUUAAACUUUAAAAUGCUUGUAUUUCACUUCAAAAUUAAAACAUCAAUAAAUGCCUAUGCGAUUGUCUAGAUAAUAUUUUUAGACUUAUCUCGGAUCACACUAUGCGUUUUUUCGGUUCCGGCGGUUUUAUACGGUUAGGUUAUUUUAUUGUUAUUUUUUUGCUGGUUUGUUCUCCAUCCUGUAUAGCUUCCGAUCGUCCGAACUAAAAAAAUAUUACGAUGAAGUGAAGUCUACGGCCAAGAUGAAGUAGCCACGGGUACCCUUUUAAGUCUCUGGUGCGCGAGAACCCCAGCGGGCUGGAUUAAUACGUUUCUAACCGAUUUCUUUUGCAAAUAAAGCUUCUGAGUCGAGUGCCGAAAGACCUGUAGAUACCGCCAGAACCUUGGUCCGGAACUCGCCGGAAGUGGAAGUGCAACAGCAAUAGACCGCGGUGCAUAUCGCGCUACAGCUGUGGCAUUUAGACACGAGCAAACUCUUCCGUGCCGUUCGCCGUCAAUCGCAUCGCUCUGGCAGCAGAAGCUGUCAAGUCUCGUCUACCGUCUUAUGGGGUCAUCGAAUUUCGCUCUGAACCAAAAGUCUGCCCUUGGAACCGGCUGCGAGAACGUUGCAGAGAUGACCAGUGACCUAUAACGACUA